rnacentral:rRNA from 1 species
GGUAUGGGAUGGGGUCGCGUCCUAUCAGCUUGAUGGCGGGGUAACGGCCCACCAUGGCUUCGACGGGUAGCCGGCCUGAGAGGGCGACCGGCCACAUUGGGACUGAGAUACGGCCCAGACUCCUACGGGAGGCAGCAGUGGGGAAUAUUGCACAAUGGGCGCAAGCCUGAUGCAGCGACGCCGCGUGCGGGAUGACGGCCUUCGGGUUGUAAACCGCUUUUGACUGGGAGCAAGCCCUUCGGGGUGAGUGUACCUUUCGAAUAAGCACCGGCUAACUACGUGCCAGCAGCCGCGGUAAUACGUAGGGUGCAAGCGUUAUCCGGAAUUAUUGGGCGUAAAGGGCUCGUAGGCGGUUCGUCGCGUCCGGUGUGAAAGUCCAUCGCUUAACGGUGGAUCCGCGCCGGGUACGGGCGGGCUUGAGUGCGGUAGGGGAGACUGGAAUUCCCGGUGUAACGGUGG